CUUUUCUCCAAUUAAGGUGUGUUCGUUGUCAACAUCUAAUAUGCUUGUUAAAUUCCUUAAGAGUUUUUCAUGGUAGGUGUUGCAGACUUUUCUAUUUGCAUGUGACUUCUGAUGUAAUAGUAAUCUGUUUGUUUUCUCUCUGCUAAAUAGUGUGAUGUACAACCAUAAAGAAUAGAUCAAGAGAAAUUAAUUCUCAAGAACAAAGAGGGCAGAGAAACACAUUUUCUGGAAAAACAAAUUCUCAAAAUAUUUAUUUAAUUGUCAAUAAUAUCAUAAUCAAAGAUACCGAAUAAUAGAAAACCUAUGACUAUUUGAUUCGUCCUGAUAUAAGAACUUUGAAAAUAACAAUGGUUGUGACAUUCAUGUUUCCAUUGUCAAUCUGUGGUGCUUCUAAGAGGAUUGGCCACCUGAUGUUGCUUAUCAUUUGUUUGUGUA
rnacentral:misc_RNA from 1 species